UACGUAGGUGGCAAGCGUUGUCCGGAUUUAUUGGGUUUAAAGGGCGCGUAGGUGGCCCUGUAAGUCAGUGGUGAAAUAUCUCAGCUUAACUGAGAGGGUGCCAUUGAUACUGCAGGGCUUGAGUACAGAUGAGGUAGGCGGAAUUGACGGUGUAGCGGUGAAAUGCAUAGAUAUCGUCAAGAACACCGAUAGCGAAGGCAGCUUACCAAGCUGUAACUGACACUGAGGCACGAAAGUGUGGGGAUCAAACAGG
rnacentral:rRNA from 1 species